rnacentral:rRNA from 1 species
GACGAACGCUGGCGGCGUGCUUAACACAUGCAAGUCGAACGGAAAGGCCCUGCUUUUGUGGGGUGCUCGAGUGGCGAACGGGUGAGUAACACGUGAGUAACCUGCCCUUGACUUUGGGAUAACUUCAGGAAACUGGGGCUAAUACCGGAUAGGAGCUCCUGCCGCAUGGUGGGGGUUGGAAAGUUUCGGCGGUUGGGGAUGGACUCGCGGCUUAUCAGCUUGUUGGUGGGGUAGUGGCUUACCAAGGCUUUGACGGGUAGCCGGCCUGGGAGGGUGACCGGCCACAUUGGGACUGAGAUACGGCCCAGACUCCUACGGGAGGCAGCAGUGGGGAAUAUUGCACAAUGGGCGGAAGCCUGAUGCAGCAACGCCGCGUGCGGGAUGACGGCCUUCGGGUUGUAAUCCGCUUUCGCCUGUGACGAAGCGUGAGUGGCGGUAAUGGGUAAAGAAGCACCGGCUAACUACGUG